rnacentral:misc_RNA from 1 species
GUUUUCAAUUUCUUUAGUUUCAAAACAUAAUGCAGCAAAAUCAAAUAAUUAUCAACUUAAAAGAUAGUUCAAUAGGAGCUACCCCACCAUACAACUCAAAAUAGUUGAACAGAUAUUGCUUAAAUACGGGACAGAAUCCUAAAUUAGAACAUAAAAAAAUUGGAAAGCGAUAACAUUUUUGUGGGGAUGUUCUUAAAGAAAGUUGCACAGCCACACAAGAAAG